GCCAUUCUAUUGUGUGUAGAGAAGUGAAGGGGCUGAGAUGGGCACUGUACACAUAAGGCAGAUUCCUGGGACUUUCUGGCCAAGGGAAAUAUUGCUUCUGCCUUGGAGUAGUAUAGAAGCUGAAUCUGGCUGAAGGUACAUUCUUUGUCUUUGAACUGUUUUCCUGGUCCUUGCUCUAAUGGGAAAAACCCACAGCCAAAUAAAAGGCAUUGUAAAGUUCUCGGGAAAGGUACAGGGCACAUGGAAUGUUCUACUGCCUUAAUCACUUUGACCAAUGAUGACAUGAAUGCCAAGGCCAAAGUUCAGCUUUUGGGGAAGCUAUUUACAAAGGUGUGUUUGUCAUCUGACCUAAAACACAGACAGAAAACUAAGGCAGGAUAUCAAAGUCUACUAUAGGAACAAUGGGUGGUGCUGGCUGAGAGUGAGGGCUGGGUAUCCAAUUUGAACAGGGUCAAGAAGCAGGAGCUGGAGGAUAAUCCCUGAAGGAAAACCACCCAGCGCUGGAGGAGGAGCAAGAUGCUCUGUGAACUCCUAGGAGCUGGAAAAGAGAGAGAUGGGGAACAUUUUUUGACUCUUGAGUUUGGGAUUAGAGAAAGGAGACCAUGAGGAAGAAGAAAGCAGAUGUGGAGCAUCCAGCAGCCACCACAAUUUCUACACGUCAAAACCCCCUUUCCUGUGGGAGCUGUGCCUCAGAAGAUAAACUACUGACUGAUUAUAUAUUUAUGGUAAUUGAAUGAUGACUUAUGGAGUCUGUCUGGAGAGCAAUGCUUACGUUACACACAAACAACAAUUCACUCGGAUGCGUGCCUGGCAAGCAUCUGAUUUAUUAAAUCAAUAAAUGUUCUU
ensembl:lincRNA 4930587A21Rik RIKEN cDNA 4930587A21 gene